rnacentral:tRNA from 1 species
GGAGUGUUGGCUCAGUCAGUAGAGCGUCCGCCUGACAACUGGGAGGUCGUGGGUUCAACCCCCGCCGCGUCA